rnacentral:rRNA from 1 species
GCAAGUCGAGCGCUCUUUAUUGAGAGCGGCGAACGGCUGAGGAACACGUUGGAACCUGCCCCGAACUCAGGGAUAACCUCGCGAAAGCGGGAUUAAUACCGGAUGCCCUCGUAAGAGGAAAGAUUUUUCGGUUCGGGAGGGGCCUGCGGCCUAUCAGUUAGUUGGUGAGGUAAAAGCUUACCAAGACUAUGACGGGUAGCUGGUCUGAGAGGACGACC